GCUGUAGCUCAGUGCUAGAGCAGCUGCUUGGGAUGCAGAAAGUCACUGGUUCAAUCCCUGGCAUCUCCA